UAGAACACAAACAACAACUUUAAAUGGAACCUGUCAUCAACUUUAUGCUGACAUCACUGAGGCCAGUAUAAAUUAGUGACAUAAAUGCUGAUCUCAGCGGUGUGUCACUCAUGAGCUAAAAGUAAGUGGUUGCUGAGAACCAGCAUCAUAAUCAUUGCAGCACAGGCCUGGAAAAGAGUCACAUCUACCUGAGAAGAGUCCUGGUUAUUCC